UUUAACAAAAACAUGUCCUUUAGUGAUAAAUUUAAGGUCGGGCCUGCCCCCUGAUUGGAUUAAAGGGCCGCGGUAUUUUGACCGUGCAAAGGUAGCAUAAUCAUUAGUCUUUUAAUUGAAGGCUGGAAUGAAUGGUUUGACGAAAUAUUAGCUGUCUCUGUAUAAUAAAUAGAAUUUAACUUUUGAGUCAAAAGGCUUAAAUGGUUAUAUAAGACGAGAAGACCCUAUAGAGCUUUAUAUAUAAAAAUAUAUGUAUUGAGUAGGAGAAUUAGGUACAUUUAUAUUAAUAUAUUUUGUUGGGGUGACAUGAAGAUAUAAUAACUCUUUAUAUUAGUAACAUUGAUUUAUGAUAAAUGAUCCAUUAUUAUUGAUUAUAAGAAAAAGUUACCUUAGGGAUAACAGCGUAAUUUUUUUUGAGAGUUCUUAUCGACAAGAAAGAUUGCGACCUCGA
rnacentral:rRNA from 1 species